UUUGAUCCUGGCUCAGAUUGAACGCUGGCGGCAGGCCUAACACAUGCAAGUCGAGCGCACCCUUCGGGGCGAGCGGCGGACGGGUUAGUAACGCGUGGGAAUAUACCCUUCACUACGGAAUAGCCUCGGGAAACUGAGAGUAAUACCGUAUACGCCCUUCGGGGGAAAGAUUUAUCGGUGAUGGAUUAGCCCGCGUCUGAUUAGAUAGUUGGUGGGGUAAUGGCCUACCAAGUCUACGAUCAGUAGCUGGUUUUAGAGGAUGAUCAGCAACACUGGGACUGAGACACGGCCCAGACUCCUACGGGAGGCAGCAGUGGGGAAUCUUAGACAAUGGGCGAAAGCCUGAUCUAGCCAUGCCGCGUGUGUGAUGAAGGCCUUAGGGUCGUAAAGCACUUUCGCCAGGGAUGAUAAUGACAGUACCUGGUAAAGAAACCCCGGCUAACUCCGUGCCAGCAGCCGCGGUAAUAAGGG
rnacentral:rRNA from 1 species